rnacentral:rRNA from 1 species
UUAGUGGCGGACGGGUGAGUAACGCGUGAGGAGCUGUCCUAUGCAGGGGGACAACAGCUGGAAACGGCUGCUAAUACCCCCAUAAGCCGAGAGGUAAAAGGAUCAAUCCGGCAGAGGAGGUACUCGCGUCCUAUCCAGCUAGUAGGUGAGGUAACGGCUCACCUAGGCGAAGACGGGUAGCCGGCCUGAGAGGGCGAACGGCCACACUGGAACUGAGAUACGGUCCAGACUCCUACGGGAGGCAGCAGUGGGGAAUAUUGGGCAAUGGGGGAAACCCUGACCCAGCGACGCCGCGUGGGUGAAGAAAUCCUUCGGGAUGUAAAGCCCUGUUGUAUGGGAAGAGCGGAAGACGGUACCAUACGAGGAAGCCCCGGCAAACUACGUGCCAGCAGCUGC